rnacentral:misc_RNA from 1 species
UUGUUUUGUUUUGUUUUUGUGUUCAGACAUAAAAUGAGUGUAAAAAAUCUCGGUGGCGCGCACUCGUUUCCAAGCCGCCGACCACCAAGCAACAUUGUAAAUUCACAAGUGUAUGAGAGAAUGUCCAAAGGACAAAUUCAUUAAUGAUCCUUCCGCAGGUUCACCUACGGAAA